rnacentral:rRNA from 1 species
CAGGCUUAACACAUGCAAGUCGAGGGGCAGCAUGGUCUUAGCUUGCUAAGGCCGAUGGCGACCGGCGCACGGGUGAGUAACACGUAUCCAACCUGCCGUCUACUCUUGGACAGCCUUCUGAAAGGAAGAUUAAUACAAGAUGGCAUCAUGAGUCCGCAUGUUCACAUGAUUAAAGGUAUUCCGGUAGACGAUGGGGAUGCGUUCCAUUAGAUAGUAGGCGGGGUAACGGCCCACCUAGUCUUCGAUGGAUAGGGGUUCUGAGAGGAAGGUCCCCCACAUUGGAACUGAGACACGGUCCAAACUCCUACGGGAGGCAGCAGUGAGGAAUAUUGGUCAAUGGGCGAGAGCCUGAACCAGCCAAGUAGCGUGAAGGAUGACUGCCCUAUGGGUUGUAAACUUCUUUUAUAAAGGAGUAAAGUCGGGUAUGGAUACCCGUUUGCAUGUACUUUAUGAAUAAGGAUCGGCUAACUCCGUGCCAGCAGCCGCGGUAAUACGGAGGAUCCGAGCGUUAUCCGGAUUUAUUGGGUUUAAAGGGAGCGUAGAUGGAUGUUUAAGUCAGUUGUGAAAGUUUGCGGCUCAACCGUAAAAUUGCAGUUGAUACUGGAUAUCUUGAGUGCAGUUGAGGCAGGCGGAAUUCGUGGUGUAGCGGUGAAAUGCUUAGAUAUCACGAAGAACUCCGAUUGCGAAGGCAGCCUGCUAAGCUGCAACUGACAUUGAGGCUCGAAAGUGUGGGUAUCAAACAGGAUUAGAUACCCUGGUAGUCCACACGGUAAACGAUGAAUACUCGCUGUUUGCGAUAUACAGCAAGCGGCCAAGCGAAAGCGUUAAGUAUUCCACCUGGGGAGUACGCCGGCAACGGUGAAACUCAAAGGAAUUGACGGGGGCCCGCACAAGCGGAGGAACAUGUGGUUUAAUUCGAUGAUACGCGAGGAACCUUACCCGGGCUUAAAUUGCAGAUGAAUUACGGUGAAAGCCGUAAGCCGCAAGGCAUCUGUGAAGGUGCUGCAUGGUUGUCGUCAGCUCGUGCCGUGAGGUGUCGGCUUAAGUGCCAUAACGAGCGCAACCCUUGUUGUCAGUUACUAACAGGUUCCGCUGAGGACUCUGACAAGACUGCCAUCGUAAGAUGUGAGGAAGGUGGGGAUGACGUCAAAUCAGCACGGCCCUUACGUCCGGGGCUACACACGUGUUACAAUGGGGGGUACAGAGGGCCGCUACCACGCGAGUGGAUGCCAAUCCCAAAAACCUCUCUCAGUUCGGACUGGAGUCUGCAACCCGACUCCACGAAGCUGGAUUCGCUAGUAAUCGCGCAUCAGCCACGGCGCGGUGAAUACGUUCCCGGGCCUUGUACACACCGCCCGUCAAGCCAUGGGAGCCGGGGGUACCUGAAGUGCGUAACCGCGAGGAGCGCCCUAGGGUAAAACUGGUGACUGGGGCUAAGU